rnacentral:rRNA from 1 species
UACAGAGGUCUCAAGCGUUGUUCGGAUUCAUUGGGCGUAAAGGGCGCGUAGGCGGCAAGGCAAGUCGGGUGUGAAAGCUUGGGGCUUAACCCCGAAAGGGCACUCGAGACUGCCCUGCUAGAGGGCCGGAGAGGAGAUCGGAAUUCACGGUGUAGCAGUGAAAUGCGUAGAGCUCGUGAGGAAGACCGGUGGCGAAGGCGGAUCUCUGGACGGCCCCUGACGCUGAGGCGCGAAGGCUAGGGGAGCAAACGGG